GAUCUAGUCCUCUAUGUUACCAGCAUGCAUCACAAUGUUUAGUAUUUUGUGACAACAGUUUGUCAAUGCUGUUGAAGGUUGUGAAAACUACCAUGAAGGAUGAACUGGAGGCAGCAGAGACAAAACCCUCCCCACUGGUGCUGUUCCGUACACCCAACCUUCGCAAGCGGAUCUGUCUUCUAUCCUUUGUGAGAUGUGUGUCAUUGAUAUCAACUGUAGGCCUGCUUAUCAACCUCCAAUAUCUGAGCAAUAAAGUGUUCCUGCUGCAGUGUCUCUAUGGUGUGGUGUGCACUCCAGCCAAUCUUCUUGGAAAUUUUUCAAUGAAUUACAUGGGCCGCAGAACAACCCAAAUCAUUUUCAUGUCUGUGAUGGGAAUCUCCAUUCUGUCUAUCACAUUUUUGACUCAAGAAAUGCAGAUCCCGCGUUUAGUUUUGGCAUCAUUAGGAGGAGCAAUUUCUUCUGCCUCUUUGACAAGUACUGCUGUGCUUUCAAAUGAGCUAGUCCCCACUGUAAUCAGGGCAACUGCUUUAGGAGUCAUUGGAAUUUUUGGUAGUGCUGGAGCAGCCCUGUCUCCUCUGUUGAUGAUUCUCAUGACAUAUUCUGCUUCCUUGCCCUGGAUCAUCUAUGGGGUUCUUCCCAUCCUUAGUAGCCUUGUUGUCCUUCUUCUUCCUGAGACGAGGAAUCAGCCUCUGCCUGACUCCAUCCAAGAUGUAGAAAAUAAGAGGAAAAGCUCAAGAGAGGUAAAGAAAGAUGCGGUUGCCAAAGUGACACCAUUUUAAAGAAUUCCAACUGAGCUCUGAUCAAGGAGAAAGAUAAAAAGUACAUAUUGUUCAGAAUAUGGUGGUCCAGAAUCAUACCUACAUGUUAGCAGAAUUUUUCCAUAUAAGUGAUAUGUGUAAAUAAAGUUAAAUUAAAAUUAUACCAGUUUGCCAUGUAUAAAAUAACUAUAAUAAAGAAAUUUGAAGAAAAUCACAAAUAUUGAAGAAACACUAACCCAAAUGUCUAUAGUCAGUGAUACUGGUCAAGUUUCAGUAUAGAAUGCAUGUUUGUGAUGUAUGGCAGUUCAAUGGAACUGAAACCGUCCCUUCUAAGUCUUAGAGAGGGGGGGGGGAUGUUUCAUGAGAUUCAGAAGGUAAAGAAAAGGUCGCAUGUCUAGUUAAGAUCAAAACUUGGAAGGUUCUGGAAGGUCCUUAUUUAGCUUUUGUAAAGAAGUAAAUAGUAUUGUGGAAGGAGACUGAGCAGCCAAGCUUCAGAGCAGAUAUUUGACUACUGAACUGCCCGGGAACUGUUCAGAAAGCCCCAUGGUGGCAACUUUCAUAAGGUGUUGAGGGCCUUUUCAGUGAUGUAGCUGCUCUUUUGAGUCAUCCCUGUCCCCAUAAGUAACCUUUCACCCAAAUUCCCAUUAGUAGCCCCAAUAAAUCACCAAG
rnacentral:lncRNA from 1 species